UACGUAGGGGGCUAGCGUUGUCCGGAAUCAUUGGGCGUAAAGAGCGUGUAGGCGGCCCGGUAAGUCCGCUGUGAAAGUCGGGGGCUCAACCCUCGAAUGCCGGUGGAUACUGUCGGGCUAGAGUGCGGAAGAGGCGAGUGGAAUUCCUGGUGUAGCGGUGAAAUGCGCAGAUAUCAGGAGGAACAUCAGUGGCGAAGGCGGCUACCUGGCCCAAUACUGACACUCAGGUGCGACAGCGUGGGGAGCAAACAGG
rnacentral:rRNA from 1 species